CUUCGGGAGUUGUAGCCACACGGACUCGGUUGGAUGCUAUAAAUAGCUUUUGCUGUGCGUCUAUAAACAAAAUCACACAAACCACACACAGGAAGAAGACUCAAUCUGGAUGUGGACAAUCCCUCCUUACUACCGAGUUCACCGGAACAGAAAUGCUGUCCUGACCCAUAUUACGCCCAAAUAAACCAUUACUACAGAAAUACUAACCAGUACUUCCUCCAAUACACCCCCACAAGAUCAUUCCUUCUAAUGAUGGCAGCAUAUGUGAUGUUAUUGUGUUUUGUCCCACAGGGUUCAUAAUACAGCCUUUGACCUUAACAUAAGCACGGAUCACAACCGAAUUAUGUUCUGGAUCAGGGGUGCUCACACUUUUUCAGCAUGCGAGCUACUUUUAAAAUGACCGAGUCAAAAUGAUCUACCCACUACAAAAAUGCAAAACAUCUAUUUAUUUUCAAAUGUAUUGAGGAUUAUUUGUACGUACAAUGUAUGUUGAUGUACCUUACAUAACCAAAUGAGCCAAUAUUGCAAAACACACAUAAUUAACUAUUAACAUUUUUUGUAAUUACCUGAGUUUACUUUGAUGACUUGCACUGAAUUGAACCAGCCAGGGAUGCAUAGUCCGGACAGUAGCUGCUGAUAGCCAGCCUCAAGCACACUUCCAAAUGUUUAUCAGUCAUGGAUAAUAUCCGUAUCAUAAUAUCCGUAUAAUAUUCCAUAUCCGUAUGGAAGUGAUAUGUUUUUUGCCUUUUUACUUGGUCCAGUUUUUGCCUUUUUACUUGGUCCAGCUCCUUCACUCAUUUUAGUGACCAUAAACUUUAGCGAGGGCUUUAAAAUCUCGCAAUUCGCCGACUAGCUUAGCACUUUGCAUCGUUGUUUACGCAUGAGCGGUGACCUAAAGGUCAAAAUUCAGUUGUCAUCUGAUUGGUUGUCCUGUAUGUCAAUCAAGUAACGGGGAUGGAUGAUAGGCUGACAUCGUAAGUUCUGCUGCACUUAGAGACGUUGUUUGAUUUGAUUGGUCGCCCGAAGGGCAACAUUCAGUUGUCAUCUGAAUGGCUGCCCUGUAUGUCAAUCAAGUGACGGCAUUGAUGCUGGGAUGAUAUUUUUUUAAUGUCACGCCGCGAUCGACCAGCGAUCGACCAGUACCACCUCCGCGAUCGACCGGUAGCUCGCGAUCGACUUAAUGAGCACCCCUGUUCUGGAUUAAUCACUGAACUACAGCAAAUAUUUUCACCGCAUUAAUAAGCUCCUUAAAGGAGAAAGGAAAGUCAUCUGUGUGUUUAUGUGUGCUUGGAAGUAUUACAUUCCUGCAUGGAUAAGGAAUUAUAUAUAUAAUACGAGCUGACAUAUGAGGUAUAGACACAAGUUUGUUAUGAUACUGUAAAAACGAGAUAAAAGUAAAUAUAUAAUUCAGUAACUUUGAUAGCGCUUACGUUUGCUGUCAGCUGUGUUGUCAGGUUAGACACCUUCUCCUGGGAAGACUCCAGUUCUCUCCUUAGCUUACGGAUUUGCUGGCGGGGGAAAAAAGAGUACACUGCAUUAUAAUAUUAAAUAACAUGUUACAUAAAUAUAUUUGUAAUAAAUGAUGUUUAGGAAAUGAAAGGGGAUGAAUAGUGAAAUGCAGUACAGGGCAGUAAAGACAACACGUACCUCGCCCUGAAUCCUUUCCUCUGACUUCAGAUGCAGCGAAAAAAAGUUACAGACGUUAAAGAAAAGUAAGAAAAUCCUCAAGAGGGGGUAGAGGAUAAGAAGAGGAAGAAGAAGAAUAAUCUAGAUCUGUAGCUACCUGGGAAUGAAUGGCGCUUGCACUCACCGAGGAGUAGCUUGACGAGGCGUUGGACGCCAAGGAAGUAAUAGACCCAUUCACUGAACACAUAAGAUGAAAGUAAACAACAAUGAAAUUAUAGAAAUUAUGAGCUUGGAAGUGUUUAUUAUACAUUUUGUUUUAGUAUUUUAAAUGGUAGCCUUUUAUUGUACUGUAAUUUAUCUGUUAUUAAUUUAUUUAGUAUUACUAUUACAGAGAAUCACAUCCCACUUUAUUACAAUUAUUACUGAUAAAUAUUUCUAUCUGCGAUUAAUUAUGAUUAAUUAGGACUAAACGUAUGUGAACUUAGAAAACGAAGCCAUUAACUGUGAUUUAAUAUUUCCACCGAUUGACAGCCUCAAUUGCCUCACCUUCAUCAUAUGGCUCCUUUUCCCUGAAGGAUCCGGAGCGUACCAUUCCCAAGCUGCGUGGAUGCUCCGUUAGCGACAACGUGCUUCCCAGCGGAGACCCCCCAUAAAGCUCCAGCGAGGCUUCCUGCGUUGGGAUGCUGUUGGAUCGAAUCAUCCUCGGAGGUGCGCCAACCGGGCUCGGAACUACUAAUGCAACAAACAGUAUUGAAUGUAUCCAGAUGUUCACACCUGUACUGGUCUUGGAGGAGCGAGGCAGGGAGGAAGGCGAGGACAGCAUCGGAAGAGCCAGAGUGUCGGUCAUGGUGAGAAUACUAUGAGAGUGUCUCCUCUCUCCUUUCUCCUUCCCUUCGUCCUCACUCUGAGAGGCACUGCUGAAACUACACAGGUGAAUAAUAAUAAUAAGAGGUCGUGGUUACUUGGUGAAAAAAAAUGUGCUUACACGCCAUAUAUUGCAAUAUUUUUCUUAACAAUGCAUCGAUUUCAUAUGCUUACCUUAAACCUUUCUUUGGUAGAGUGUUCCUGUCUCUAUGGGAACUGUGGGAAUUUAACAAAGGUAUUAUUCAAGCAGGGAAGACACAAACAUAAUAACAUGUUUAUAAUUAUAAUUUUUUGUCUGAAAAGCAACAAAUUAUCUACUUUAUUAUCUACCCAAGUGAGUACAAGCACCAUAGAAAAGGAAUGGAUGAAUGAAUGUAUGCAGUUCCAAAGCUGACCACUAGAUGGAGGUACAUUGCAGAAUAAUUAAAAUGUGUGAUAUUUAUUCAUGCAUGCACAUUGGCCUUCGUUUAGUCUCACCCGUCUGUGUCCGUGUCGGAGACUUUACUUCCAGACCUCCAGCUGGCAGGAGGUCCUCGAUCCUCGUGCCGAUCUUUGUCCCUGGACUCGCUGGCGUCAUACCCGCUUCGCAUCAACAUCUCUCGGCCCCUCUCCUGCAGCUCUGGAGCUACGCUCAUCUGUAAGGACAGGGACUCCAUGCUGCGAUGGAGCCCAGACAGGCGGGGGUAGAGCAAG